rnacentral:tRNA from 1 species
GCAGUGGUGGUUCAGUGGUAGAAUCCUCACCUUCUGUGAGAGAGACCCAGGUUUGAUUCCCGGCCAGGGCA